UCUAGUACGAGGAUCACACAGUCAGAGCAACCCAGUGGCAUAACUCUCACCCACCUCCAUAACUCCCCUCAUCGACCCAGCACCAUUCCACUUCCAUAACUCCCCUCACCAACCCAUCGCCAUUAAAUCCUCACCGACCCAUCAUAAAUGCAUUUUCUACACACUCAACUUACACCGCAUCACCAACCUCAAUCAAUCACAUUAACCCCUUGCUCAGAAUCAUAAUUCCAUGCCCAACUACCCCUAAUCCUCGUAGAGAUCCCACCUUCACCUACGAAGCUUUGGUGCUAACGAAAAGCCAAACUCACACAGUGCGAAGGGCUUGGUCAGCUUAGGGCUUAUUUAAUCCCACAUCUUCAUUCAGAUGGAAGCCUCAUUCUCAUCCUCAUCCACCUCUCUUGUGCUAUACAGAGCAUCUGCUUCCUCCUCUCACCGUGUUCCCUUACUGGUCAAUCAUAAAUUCAAGGACUUCAAGAAAAAGGGGCUGAAACACUACGACCUGUUGGGCAGGCUUUUCAAUUCAAACACAGCCACGGGUUUCCUCCAAAUUUCAUCUGCCCAACCAGCUCCAAACAGUGACAAAGAGAGAGAGCUGGAUGCAACCUUCCUAUCAUCAAGGGUGCAUGUUAACAUCAACACCGAUAGUGUGGAUGAUGUGGAGGAGCUGCCCACACCAAGUGAAGCCCAAAGCUGGAGGCAAGCUGAAAAGCGACCACUGAACCAUCUUAUUCAAGCGGAAAAAGGAAGAAAUGGCACUCCCUUGAAAGCAUGAUUGAGGCUAUUUGGGGGUUUAUUGACAUGAGGAACUGGAGGGGGAAAAGGUCCACCGACACCGAAGAGUCUGGUGUGGGGGGUGACACUGAGUCAGUUACACAAGCUGUAACACUGCUCAACCAGUACACCGAUGUGGAUCAUGUCACAUAUUGCAAGGUCAUGUAGGAGCUUUAUAACUUCAAUAGUAGAGCCACUUUUUUUGCUAUGACGGUUGAUAGGAGAAAGGUUUGGAUUGAGUUCAUUGGGGGUGGACUGCAGUAGUUGUGGGGGUGGUUGAGAAUGUGUGUCGUUUAGAUAGCCUAGGAAGUUAAUUAGUUUAGUUAUUUUGCUUUAAUGUGAAUAGGCAAAGUCUGUAUUAUGUUAAUAUUUUGGACAAUGUUUGCAUGCUACCUUCCUUUAUUAUUACUAUAUAAUGCUUUGGACAUCUAUGCUAGUUAUGUAAGAAAUAUGUUUUGUGGUUGUCGUAUCUUAUAAGAAUUGCUUUGUUUGGUGACAUAUAUAUAUUUCAGAAAAUCUGAUGUGUUCUUU